GAGGAGCUUGCUUCUCUGGAUGAGUUGCGAACGGGUGAGUAACGCGUAGGUAACCUGCCUGGUAGCGGGGGAUAACUAUUGGAAACGAUAGCUAAUACCGCAUAAGAGUAGAUGUCGCAUGACAUUUGCUUAAAAGGUGCAAUUGCAUCACUACCAGAUGGACCUGCGUUGUAUUAGCUAGUUGGUGGGGUAACGGCUCACCAAGGCAACGAUACAUAGCCGACCUGAGAGGGUGAUCGGCCACACUGGGACUGAGACACGGCCCAGACUCCUACGGGAGGCAGCAGUAGGGAAUCUUCGGCAAUGGACGGAAGUCUGACCGAGCAACGCCGCGUGAGUGAAGAAGGUUUUCGGAUCGUAAAGCUCUGUUGUAAGAGAAGAACGAGUGUGAGAGUGGAAAGUUCACACUGUGACGGUAUCUUACCAGAAAGGGACGGCUAACUACGUGCCAGCAGCCGCGGUAAUACGUAGGUCCCGAGCGUUGUCCGGAUUUAUUGGGCGUAAAGCGAGCGCAGGCGGUUAGAUAAGUCUGAAGUUAAAGGCUGUGGCUUAACCAUAGUACGCUUUGGAAACUGUUUAACUUGAGUGCAAGAGGGGAGAGUGGAAUUCCAUGUGUAGCGGUGAAAUGCGUAGAUAUAUGGAGGAACACCGGUGGCGAAAGCGGCUCUCUGGCUUGUAACUGACGCUGAGGCUCGAAAGCGUGGGUAGCGAACAGGAUUAGAUACCCUGGUAGUCCACGCCGUAAACGAUGAGUGCUAGGUGUUAGACCCUUUCCGGGGUUUAGUGCCGCAGCUAACGCAUUAAGCACUCCGCCUGGGGAGUACGACCGCAAGGUUGAAACUCAAAGGAAUUGACGGGGGCCCGCACAAGCGGUGGAGCAUGUGGUUUAAUUC
rnacentral:rRNA from 1 species